rnacentral:rRNA from 1 species
AUGAACGCUAGCUACAGGCUUAACACAUGCAAGUCGAGGGGCAGCAUGAACUUAGCUUGCUAAGUUUGAUGGCGACCGGCGCACGGGUGAGUAACACGUAUCCAACCUGCCGAUGACUCGGGGAUAGCCUUUCGAAAGAAAGAUUAAUACCCGAUGGCAUAGUUCUUCCGCAUGGUAGAACUAUUAAAGAAUUUCGGUCAUCGAUGGGGAUGCGUUCCAUUAGGUUGUUGGCGGGGUAACGGCCCACCAAGCCUUCGAUGGAUAGGGGUUCUGAGAGGAAGGUCCCCCACAUUGGAACUGAGACACGGUCCAAACUCCUACGGGAGGCAGCAGUGAGGAAUAUUGGUCAAUGGACGAGAGUCUGAACCAGCCAAGUAGCGUGAAGGAUGACUGCCCUAUGGGUUGUAAACUUCUUUUAUACGGGAAUAAAGUGAGGCACGUGUGCCUUUUUGUAUGUACCGUAUGAAUAAGGAUCGGCUAACUCCGUGCCAGCAGCCGCGGUAAUACGGAGGAUCCGAGCGUUAUCCGGAUUUAUUGGGUUUAAAGGGAGCGUAGGCGGACGCUUAAGUCAGUUGUGAAAGUUUGCGGCUCAACCGUAAAAUUGCAGUUGAUACUGGGUGUCUUGAGUACAGUAGAGGCAGGCGGAAUUCGUGGUGUAGCGGUGAAAUGCUUAGAUAUCACGAAGAACUCCGAUUGCGAAGGCAGCCUGCUGGACUGUAACUGACGCUGAUGCUCGAAAGUGUGGGUAUCAAACAGGAUUAGAUACCCUGGUAGUCCACACAGUAAACGAUGAAUACUCGCUGUUUGCGAUAUACAGUAAGCGGCCAAGCGAAAGCGUUAAGUAUUCCACCUGGGGAGUACGCCGGCAACGGUGAAACUCAAAGGAAUUGACGGGGGCCCGCACAAGCAGUGGAGUAUGUGGUUUAAUUCGAAGCAACGCGAAGAACCUUACCAGGUCUUGACAUCCAACUAACGAAGUAGAGAUACAUUAGGUGCCCUUCGGGGAAAGUUGAGACAGGUGGUGCAUGGUUGUCGUCAGCUCGUGCCGUGAGGUGUCGGCUUAAGUGCCAUAACGAGCGCAACCCUUAUCGAUAGUUACCAUCAGGUUAUGCUGGGGACUCUGUCGAGACUGCCGUCGUAAGAUGUGAGGAAGGUGGGGAUGACGUCAAAUCAGCACGGCCCUUACGUCCGGGGCUACACACGUGUUACAAUGGGGGGUACAGAAGGCAGCUACACGGCGACGUGAUGCUAAUCCCGAAAGCCUCUCUCAGUUCGGAUUGGAGUCUGCAACCCGACUCCAUGAAGCUGGAUUCGCUAGUAAUCGCGCAUCAGCCACGGCGCGGUGAAUACGUUCCCGGGCCUUGUACACACCGCCCGUCAAGCCAUGAAAGCCGGGGGUACCUGAAGUGCGUAACCGCAAGGAGCGCCCUAGGGUAAAACUGGUGAUUGGGGCU